UCAAUCCUCGCAUUACAUUUUGCAAGAUGACGUUACAAAUGAACGUUGGGUUCAUUUACGUUCACUCUGUCUUUUUUCCUCCCACACGAGCAGGUUUCGGUGGUUUGUUUUGACUCUCAUUCGUUGCCGUUCUCUUCUCUCACAUAAAGAUAAAUUGAGAUUAGUUUUCUAGCCAUUCAGCCGACUAUAUGCACUGACCCACCGGUGAAUUAAGUUCAUUUGGUUCGAGAACGUUCACACUUGAGCGGGGUACGCUUCUGAAUAGCUGCUGAAGAAGCGAACUCCGCGCUAGUGUAAAAUUGAAUUCAGUUAACAAAUCUGUGCAUUAAAGCUUGCGGAGAGAAAAAGUAGAUUUAGCGUUUGGUUCAUCCAGAGUAAACUUUGCUAUUUGCAGUACUAAAUCGUACACAUGAUCUAUUAACGCACGCUUUAAACUGAAUGUUUUCGCAUCGGACUGUCAAUCUAAACAAUCGUCCAGUAGGUAUUACGUUUUGCACGCUGACGUCAUGAAUAAAACUUUUGUGCAUUCUCGUUCUUGUUGUCCUCUUCCACCCCCUCCCCACUCGAAAUUUGGUAGUUUCUAAUGGUUUGUUUUGAUUCCCAUUCUUUGCCGUAUUCUUCUCUCUCGGUGAGUAAAUUGAGGUUCAAUUUCUAUGCAAAACUCAAUUGAUUCGCACGUCUUUGACAAUCAAAAUUCGUAGCGCUUGAGUUCCCAAGUAACCACGAGGCACUACCCAACUAACAAUCACUCAUUUCACAAGCACCUUUACGACGAAUUGAUUCAGCAUGAUGCUGAAUAACAUUUGGAUAAUUUUCAGGCACAACCUUUAUUCGGGUUUUGUUCACACAAAUUUGGAGAAACUAUAAAGCAUAGUGUUGUGUACCAACUGAACUGUUUGUUGUUAAACCGUUUUACAACUAUAUAGUAAAGCUGCUAUUCAGCUUUAGCAAAAAUGAUUAAAAACUAAAAAAAUAUGCAAAAUUUUUCAAUUUCCACGAGAAUUUAUGAUUGGAACUUAAAAGCUGUGAAUACAUAUUGUGAAAUAAUAACUACACAUAAAUUUACCUAAAUCCAGAUUCGAACUCGACACCCGUCGGUUGCCAGCCGCAUGCUUUCCUAUCUGCGCCAUCCUAGAGAUGAUGAAUUGCAGCGCUCAAAUCAAAACAUAAACUUCCCGUGGUUUAAUAAUGAUCAGACUUUGACUCCUAUUCAGCAGUGGUGAAUUAGCACAACAUUAUGGUUAACGACUGAACAACAAAUUAAUUCAGCUGUUGUUCAAUAAAAAACACGUGUUUUUCAUCAUGUACUCUGAGUCGAAGUAUGAUAAAACGAAAGCGCAUAUUUGACUUGUGAAAAACACAUUAUACAGAUACAUGUCCUAAUUUUUGUAUGAACUUAACAAGAAGCAGAAAAAAGUCUUAGUUUAGUUGUAAAGGAGUUGUAAAGUUGUAAAGGAAUUACUGCGAGUCGAAUAAAAAUCUUAUUAAACGCUUGAAAAGUGUUUUAAAUUAUUAUUGUUCAUACCAAUACGAAAAGUUGAACAUUGGCUACUUUUUCAAUUGAAAUAGCAUUUGUACAGUAAUGUGUACAGCAUGAUUUUAGUUCAGCUAUAAUUACCAUUAUAAAGCAACAAUUCAGCAUGCAUGCUUGUUUGCGGCUGGCGAUUGUUAGUUGGGUAUAAUUCUCGCGUUACAUUUGAUAAGGGCCUAUCCCUAAAAUGCAAACAAAUCGAUUUUGAUACCUUUCCGUAGCAUCCCCCAACAGUAACAUAUUGUGCAAACAUCACCCGCCUUACCGUUAAUCUUAUCAGAAUAAACCCCACCUUCAAAACGGCAGAUCAUUGCUUUUUUCCCAAUCAUUCAUAAGCCCAUGCUCCAAAUGGACCAGUAACAGUAAAAUUUUGUUUUCAUUUGUUGGUCCUCUCGUUUAAAGGGCCGACAACCGAAAAUUUUCCGAACGGCUCUCGGCCCGAGCGCCGAGAGAGAGAAUUCUCUCUCUCAAAAACGGCCAAGCCUUGAUACGAUGUCAACAACGGACUCACUCGGGGGACCAAUCCACGCUAAGAAAAUUUUAGAAAGACUAACAGUAAGGCUUACACCGGGUGAAAGUUCUCAAAUUAGAUUAACAUGUUUAUCUAUAAUUUUUCAUAUUUUUUUGAUAAUUUUUUAUGCAAACUUGAUUAUUGAAGCAUAGAUACAUCUAUUCUUGUGUCACUAAAACGAAAAGCAUAUUGAAAAAUUCGAAAACCGUGAAAUACGAAUAGAAAAUGUGAUGGAAAAUGUUUGCAUCGAUUUUUUUCAAUGUUUACGUUCUGGGGAUAGGCCCUUUUCAAAUGUAACGCGAGAAUUCACCUGGAGGCGAAUAUAAUGUGAUUAAGGAGCUGACACGCUCUAUAUUGGCCGCUUAAUAGCCCUGUGAGCCGAAAGUGGCGAAAUAUGUUGCUAAUGGUUACUAGGGUUGGCUGUCAUUUUUUCUUCGUUGACAGCAGAGAUGGCAUUUCACCGUAGCGAUUCACUGGGGCGUCAAUUUAUCGACCACACUGGGGAUUUGAACAUUUUUCACCGCACCAAGAAGCCAGUUUCUCUUGAUGAGGGUGGUGUGUAGAUCAAGCGCUAGUGUGUGCCCUUGCUCGUUCGCUUAGGAUCGAGUGUGGCUCGCGCGCUCUUCCGUGUGUUCACCCAGCUGUUACCGAAUCAGCACUCAACGUAUCUACAUACCAAGGUAAGUUACUCUCACUAAUAUUCAUGGAUUAGUGAGAAAAGGAAAAAAGCAAAAAAAAAGGGUUAUGAAGUUUGCGCAGAUUUGUAUGGGCACAUCACUAUUUAGCCAACUUUUUUGAGAAAUUAAGCUCUCACAUCCUAGAAGCAAUUAUUUAAUUGCAUCUCACUGGGUUAAAAGUGACCUCCAUGCAAUAAAACAGGAACUAUCACCAUUUGAAUAUCGGUGACAAAAAAAUGGUUCUAAACUUAGUUUUACAGCAUUUAGAAACUAUCAAACUACGAAAAACUUCACAAACUUUGCAAAAAUUAUAACAUUUUAGUGUAAAAACACCAACUUUUCAUAACUAACACAGAUGUGUUGGUGAGUCUCAUUAUUGACAUUUGCGGGAAUCUCUUACCUUGGUAUUUAGAUACGCUGACUAGAGCGCGCGCCGGAGAGAUUUUUUAAAAUUCACCGGAGAGAAUUUAAAAACGCUCUCACCACACUCUGGUUGACAGUUGACGUAGAAAUAGGAAGUAUUUGCUUGACUGGGGGACAUGGGGACAUGCAAACUCACUUCUGAAGGUAAAUGCAAUAAUUGAGUAGGUGUUUUCCAUCUCUGGUAUGAACGAUUAUUUGAUACAUUGCACAAUGAUCCUCGAAACAGAUUUACGAGGAAAGAUGCAAUCUGCGCCUUCAAAUGUUAUUUUUUUUAGAUUAAUAUGAUCUUCUACAAAGUUGUUUCUAAAAAUAAGGUCCUCUUUUCAAUAUACAUGAAAAUUAGGGUUGUUCAUAUUUUCAAAGAAUAACUGUAUACAUUCUUCGGGAAAGUUGUAGAUCUAUCAAUUUUGAGUAAGUUUGCUGAAGACCCUUUUCAUGUAGCUUUAAAAUUGACCGAUCUAGAGGUAUUUUUCUGAAUAAGCUUAGAGUGGUUCAAGAAAAACAGGUUUUCUGGCGUUAACUUUUUCAGUUUUGAUUUGAAGUUUUGAAGACGCGUCGUUUCGUGCGCUGAAAUGGCCGUUAUCUCUUUUGGUUCAAUAGUUACAGGUGUUUGUCCUAAAAAAAUCUUUUUUUUUUGAAAAGGUGAUAUGACCGAUUGGGGCAAACACGAAAAAUAUCUUCUGCCCGCAUUUAAAAGAAGAAAUGUUGUUAUAAAACAUAUAAAAAAAAUUGGAGGGGUGUUAUUUUUGUAACUCAAGAAAAAAAUACUUAAAAUGUGCCUAUUUUAUCAAGAAAAUCAUCAAUAUCUUUUGAACGGAAUGACGUAGCAACAUUCUCAGCGCACUUAUGAUAAUGUUUUCUAUUGCCGUUUUUCUUUUUUAACCUGGGUCGGAACUGGAUUGGUGGAAAAUGUGUAAACAAACAACGUCAAACAAACUUUAGUACAAGCGAAACCGAAGUCGGGUUUGGGUUGAAACUGUGAUCUCAUCCAGUUCCAACCCAGGUUGGAACUGGAUCAAAAAGAAAAACGGCAUAUGUGUUGCACUAUUUUACCUAAACCAUGCAUUUUCGAGCAUUUUUCCAACAAUACACACUCCUUCACAUCUCGGUGACAAAUGGGGAGACACACGGUCAGAAAAUUCACUCAUUUUGGCGCUAAAGUGGGACAACUCAAAAAUGAGUAAAUUUUAUUUCCAGCGAUAGUGCUGGCCCAAGUGCGAAUAUCUCAUCAGUUUAAGUUGUAUAAUAUUCUUGCUGAUGUGAAGAAUAUUAUACGGCUUAAACUGUUUGGAUUUUUGCACUUUGGCCAGCGCUAUCGAUGGCAAUGCAAUUUACUCAUUGUUUGAGCUGUUCCAGUUUAUCUCAGUUUUGUGUAAAUCUUACCCAUUUUAGAGUAACUUUUUCUUAGCGUGCAAGCAGAAAAAACGCGAUACAGAUGAUCAUUUGUCGCGACGUCCACGGAGGAGAUACGGAUCAAGAGUCAUCUGCUUUUCCAAUUGGUACACCGUGUUUCGCAGUUUGCGACUGCUGUGACGCGCAUCACUGGUGAAAUUGGUAGGAAAUUGCACGCACCCACCCGUCAGUCAGUAGUCGACACGAUCGAUGGUUCCCCAAAUUGGAUCGGGAAAUCGAAACCUACGCGUGCAGUUGUGGCGCAGGGCGGAAGCAGGUGACGUAUAGUGUUAUUAUGGGAAUUGGAUCUAGAGGGAGUGGUGCACUCUUAUUGCCUACUGAUGAAAAACUUGGAACAUAUUUCCCAACAGAUUAAAAUUAAUCGAAAUCAACAAAAUAGGGACCAGACACAACAUAAACAAAGACCCCAAAGUCGAUCUAUCAGAUGGGAUUGAUCAAGCGUUGCAGUUUAGUUCUGCGCUGCGCUGGCUGGUUACUAUCGAACACGAAUUGUGUGCAUCGUGGUUGCACGUUCGUGUUUUGCCAGCCGUGAUUUAUCGAUGACUAUCUUUGUAGUUUGGCUGUGGUUGCAUUAUUGGUUAGCUAUCCCGGUAGCGCCGUUCGGAAGAAACUCAAACUAUGCAUCUAUACCUGAACGAUCAAUAACAAUAACAACAUCACUAAGCAAUUUGAUGUAGGUUAUUCAUUUCAAAUAGGUUUAUAUUGAGCAAUAAGUCGGAGAUCUAAACAUUUGUUUACGGAACCAUUAGUCUACCCUGAAGGCAAUGGCUUGAUUUACUGCUUCGAAGGAAUUUCAAUUUAUAGUGCAUUAGGUCGUAAUAUCUAAAUCAUGACCCUCGAUAUGAAAUCUUUCCAUAUCCAAAGGUUGUAAACCUAUAAACAAACCUCGAAGUUGUCAAUCAUCGAUUGGGAAGCAGAAACGUUUAUUGAAACGAAAAUCAUCAGGAAAUUCGGUACAACUUGAAUUUGUUGACCUUACCUGAACUUGGGAUGGAAAACAUAUGAAGAUGCUAAUCGUCAUCACUGUCAGAGGAACCGAAGAACGAUAAUAUUUGUUAUUCCGACGUAACGCCAAUGGUCGCGCAUUGCUUUGAAUAUUCAAUGAGAGUUAUGUCAACCUUCAGGCAGGCAUCUCAAUACUCAACGUCAAAGACGAAUGGCAAAUAUUCCGCCUUCAACGGGUGAUCGGUGAUCGAUGGGACUUUAAUACCGUCGUGGUCAGGUAUAUUUGCAUCACACUUCACCUGAACUAAAGAUGCUGACUUAUGUUUGCGCGAUUUUGUUUGUUUGGUAUUUUCUUCAAGGUUGUUUCUUAAUUGUGACAAAUAUUCUUCAAUUAACAAGCGUAAGUGUAGGAACAAACCAGCCAAUUGCUAGAACUUGCUGAGUGAGGUGAGGUCACAUGCUGCUCCGACCCGACCAGUUAUAAUUGAAGCUCGUAUCCGUCGCGCGACGCGUGACGCGUCGUCGGUGUCGUAAAAGUAAACUACUGUCUAAUCAUCGGUACCGCGGCGGAGACAGUGUAUGUAUUUUUUAACGGAUGGCACAGACAGGCAACCUCCCACUGCGAUGAGUCGUAUUUGUGCAAAAAGUAUAGGAAUGUCGCAAGUUGUGUUGCGGCGAACAGAUGCCAUACGCUAACAAUAUUAACAUGUGACGAACAGUAACCGCAGUUGAUCAUCUUAGAUGUUUGCUCUCAAACGAUCACUAGGCGAAAGAAUUAAACGAAGCCUUUGACAAAGUAAAUAACCAUUGCAUGGAUACAAAUUCAAACAAACUUUUUUAUUUAACUUAUUUGAAGGAAAGGGUGUUCUUCCUUAGAAAUUACCAAGGGAAUAUUAUUGAAAUUUCGUGUGGGAUUCUUUAGAUUCAUGUCAGGAUUGUUUUGGGGGAUUUAUCUCGGAAGUCUUUCAGCUUCUUCGAUGCGAUAUUCUAUUCAGGACUCCUUCAGACAUUUUCUCGUGAUGAUACAGCAUGGAUUUUCUCCGGGAUCGCUUGAAGGAAUCCUCCAAGCAGUUUUCACGGAAUUUUAUGCAAAAUUCCUUCACGAAUAUCGUACGGAAUUCCAUGUGGGAUUGCCCAAGCAGCAUCUGCAACAUCAUCCAAAAUGUGGCUUUCUAUGGUUUGGUCUAAAUAAGUUGCACUAAAAGCACACGAAACCUCCAUCUUGUCAGUUGAGUUGCAUUUAAACUCCGAAAUUCAUGAAGUUGCGGCUUUGCUUUGUUUCAUAGAAAUCAAACAUUACCUCGUGUUUGACAUCGAUUUAUGAAGGUGGGGCUUACAUAUUCCUCGCAAGUGAUAAUACAGCCAGCUUACAUUAAAUGUACUACGUGACAUGCAUGUAGUUCUGUGGAGUUCAAAGUAAGCUCGAUUUUCUGCCACAAUGCGACACUGAAUUUCUCUGCUGGUGUCGUUAUCGCCGGUCACCAGUGAGAAACACCAUUACCUUGCAUUAUCUCUUUGCGAGAUUUGAAGGGCCUCGAGAGUGUCCCUGAUACUCGAACUACUCACAACACUCGAUCCAUCGUCGCUUUGAUCAAUCGUAUCAGUUUAUCCGGGAAUCCGUUUUCGUGCAUACUCUGCCAUAGUUGGUCUCGAUCGAUUGUAUCAUACGCCGAUUUAAAAUUGAUGAACAAGUGAUGUGUGGGCACGUUUUAUUCGCGGCAUUUCUGCAACACCUGGCGGAUGGCGAACAUCUGGUCCGUUGUAGCGCGUUCACCCAUGAAGCCAUCCUGAAAUUGCCCCAUGAACUUUCUUGCAAUCGGUGAUAGACGGCGGCAUAAGAUUUGAGAGAGUUUCUUGUAGGCAGCGCGGUAGUUCCCGCAAUCCAAUUUGUCGCCCUUUUUGUAGGACACAUGGACACAUGAUACCUUCCAUCCAUUCCUCCGGUAAUACUUCCUCCACCCAAAUCUUGGUAAUGACCCAGUGUAGUGCUUUACCAGUGCUUCUCCGCCUUAUUUUACAAGCUUCCUUGGUAGUUCAUUUGCUCCAGCGGCUUUGUUGUUUUUCAACCAGCCAACCUCUUCCUCAAUCUCUUGGAGUUUAGGGACUGGAAGUCUUUCGCUCUGCACACGUAGUCCUAGAUCUGUUAUCACGCCACAUGUGGGAUUUCCUUAUUGAUUUUCUUUGGAAAUUUGCCCGGGAUUCUACCAGGCUAGAAUUUCCUACAGGGAAUCCUUCCGAAACUCUUUUACUCCAGAGAUUGCUUCAAGAGUUACCUCAGUGAACUCUGGGAUUCCUUCAGUGAUUUUUCAAGAGAUUUUUCCAUCGAAACCUCUUCAGAUUUCUUCUGAAAUACUUUCCAAGAUUUCCUCUCCAGAGACUUUCUUCGAAAUAACUUCCAUUCUUUCUGUGAUUUGCUGAUGCCUUAAGGGAUUCCUUGAGGGGUUCCUUCAGAAACUUCUUCCGGGAUUCCUCCUGGAACUCGUUCCAGGAUUUUUCCAGAAACUCUAUCGGGGAUUCCUCCAAGAACUCCUUCCAGAAUUCCUAUAAUACUUUCAGUAAUUCCUUCCAGGAAUCCUUCAAGAACUCCUUCCAGGAUUCUUUCCGGAAUUCCCUUCGUGAUCCUCUGGGAACUCCUUCCGGUAUUCUAACAGAAACGCUUUCUGUAAUUUCUUCAAGAACUCAUUCCGCUAUUUUUUGCAAGUUCCUAUGAAAUUCCUCCAUAAGUUUCUCAGUUGUUCCCGAAGGAUAUCCUUCGGGAUUAUUACGGAAUAUAUUACGGAAUUAAUCCAAGAAUUUUCAGUAAAUUUCUAAAGGAAUUCCUUCCCCCGUAACGUGGGUAGAUCACCUUAGAGUGGUGCGUUGCGGUGUAAGAUCUACCAAAUCAAAUUUUGAUCUUGAUAUGUUGAUAAUUAUUCCAAGAUCAAAGUUUGAUGCACUUUUUGUGUUUUGUAAUUUAUUUUGUUUCAAUGUACUGCUAAUAAACAUUUUAUUUCAGCAGGAUUCAGGUAAAUUUAUCGCAUAAUAUAAAAAAUAUUGUAAAAAUAUGUAACUGUGGUGAGCGUAUCACUAAUAUGUAGUUUAUUUGACGUACGAUGUUAAUAUUAUUUUAUAUUUCAGAUUAUCAACCGAAGAAUCUAGUAAUUCAACUAAAUGCCAACAAGAUGACCACCAGGAUGAAUUGGGCAGACAACUGAUUCGAAGCAGCCUAAAAAUGGUGUGCCUGAACGUUAACCAAGCGUAUCCUUUGGAGUUUAGCCUUCCACUAACAACACCCAAAUUCCCGUGACACCUAGGCCUGAGAGAUCGUAGAGUUGUCUACAUUUUUCAUAGGUGUCCAAACCUAACCAUCCUUUCCCAUUCCUCAGCAGUCGCAAGGACGUGGCCAGGACAGUGCUCGACCAUUGGAGGAUAGCGUCAGUCUUGUUUAAGAGUCAGAGAUUAGUCCCAAAUCUUUGUGCUUUGGUUCGGACGGGAAGGAGGCAACCCUCAUAACAGCGGUCUAGGACUGUACCACCUACGAAUUUGUGCGACUCGCUUAAUGCUAAUGCUAAUGCUAAUUUCUAAA